rnacentral:lncRNA from 1 species
AUGCUCCGACCUAGCAAGGUGCGCGCCGGCGGGGAGGCGGGGCCCACCCUCGGUCCCGCCCCGUCACUCUCGCCCCCGCCCCCGCCCGCCGAGGUCCCGCCCAGGCCGCCGCGCGCUUCCCGUCGGGCGGUCCUGGCGCCCAGGCCACGCCCCCGCCCUGGGCCCCGCCCCCAGCCUCGGCCUGGUCCCGCCCCUCCGCGUCCUCGCCGCGCUUCCGCCGAAUCCCGGCUCGCGCUGGCCCCGAGCACGCUGCCAGGUCCCGCCCCCAGGCCUCGGCCCCGCCCCCGCCCCGCCCCCGCCCUGCGCCUGUCCCCCGGGCUUCCUGUGCUCCCUCGGCGCUGCGUGGUCCUGCGCUCUGAGUUCCUUGCGGUUGGCGGCUUAGGCAGCGCGGUUCUUGAGAAGAUGGACGAGACCUGUGAAAUGAAAUACAGAGUGAUGGACAGCCCUCUGGGGAAGCUGGAGAUCUCUGGUUGUGAGCAGGGUCUGCAUGGGAUAAAGCUGCAUGGCGGGAAGACCCCAGACACUAGACCCGCGGAGGCCACCGCUCCUGCUGAGCAGCUCGGAGGUCCCGGGGCAGUGCAGCCCCUGCUGCAGUGCGCGGCCUGGCUGGACGCCUAUUUCCGCGAGCCCGCUGUCCUCGAGGGGCUCCCCGUGCCCGCGCUGCACCAUCCCAUCUUCCAGAAAGAGUCAUUCACCAGACAGGUGUUAUGGAAGCUGCUGAAGCUUGUGAAAUUCGGAGAAACGGUUUCUUACCAGCAAUUAGCAGCCCUGGCGGGCAACCCCAGAGCAGCGCGGGCCGUGGGAGGAGCCAUGAGGAGCAACCCUUUGCUAACUGCAUGGGCCACGUCCACAGCCGGCCUUGGAGCUAGAGCGGCCUCUGAGCACAGCGUUCCCCGACGUUUCCUCUUACUUCUCGGGAAUGUUUGGGGACUUUGCGUGGCACUGAAACGUGGGGAUGUCUUCUUAAAUUCUAUUCCCAUCCUCAUCCCGUGCCAUCGCGUGGUCUGCAGCAGCGGGGCCAUGGGCAACUACUCCGGAGGCGUGGGCGUGAAGGAGUGGCUGCUGGUCCACGAGGGCCAUCCUGCCAGGAAAGCGGCCCGUGGAGGGGGCUCCUGUGCCACCAGCUCCUGGCGCGGGGCCCUGGGCAACACCACCAGCUCCCAGCCCUCUGGCCGAGACUGA